AACCCAUGGUGAGGGCACCUUUUUAGUAAGUCUUUGUAUCUCUCCCAUGCAUCGAAAAGAGUUUCUAAGUCCAUCUACAUAAACAAAGAGAUAUCAUUACGUAAUUU
rnacentral:snoRNA from 1 species